rnacentral:rRNA from 1 species
AUUGAACGCUGGCGGCAGGCCUAACACAUGCAAGUCGAACGAGUGGCGGACGGGUGAGUAAUGUCUGGGAAACUGCCUGAUGGAGGGGGAUAACUACUGGAAACGGUAGCUAAUACCGCAUACCAUCGGAUGUGCCCAGAUGGGAUUAGCUAGUAGGUGGGGUAACGGCUCACCUAGGCGACGAUCCCUAGCUGGUCUGAGAGGAUGACCAGCCACACGGGAACGUAGACACGGUCCAGACUCCUAGGUGAGGAAGCAGUGGGGAAUAUUGCACAAUGGGCGAAAGCCUGAGGCGGCCAGGCCGCGUGUAUGAAGAAGGCCUUCGGGUUGUAAAGUACUUUCAGCGGGGAGGCGUUACCCGCAGAAGAAGCACCGGCUAACUCCGUGCCAGCCGCCGCGGUAAUUC